rfam:Bacillus enclensis strain SGD-1123 genomic scaffold Scaffold1, whole genome shotgun sequence.
UGGUACAAGAAGAAGCUACCCGCUUCUCACCUGAAUGACGCCGAUCGGCAGUUGCCAGGUAUGAUAAUGACUAUUAAAGCUUUUUAUAGAUGCUUAAUAAUCAGAUGCGGGUGUUUCGACACCCGCAUCUUUUUUUGUGC